rnacentral:rRNA from 1 species
AUUGAACGCUGGCGGCAGGCCUAACACAUGCAAGUCGAACGAGUGGCGGACGGGUGAGUAAUAUCUGGGAAACUGCCUGAUGGCGGGGGGUAACUAAUGGAAACGGUAGCUCAUACCGCAUACCAUCGGAUGUGCCCAGAUGGGAUUAGCUAGUGGGGGAGGUAAAGGCUCACCUAGGCGACGCUCCCUAUAUGGUCUGAGAGGAUGACCAGCCACACUGGAACUGAGACACGGUCCAGACUCCUACGGGAGGCAGCAGUGGGGAAUAUUGCACAAUGGGCGCAAGCCUGAUGCAGCCAUGCCGCGUGUAUGAAGAAGGCCUUCGGGUUGUAAAGUACUUUCAGCGGGGAGGCGUUACCCGCAGAAGAAGCACCGGCUAACUCCGUGCCAGCAGCCGCGGUAAUAC